rnacentral:rRNA from 1 species
AUUGAACGCUGGCGGCAGGCCUAACACAUGCAAGUCGAACGAGUGGCGGACGGGUGAGUAAUGUUUGGGACUCUAGCCUAUGGAGGGGGAUAACUACUGGCAACUGUGGCUAAUACCGCGUACUAUAGGAUGAGACCAAGUGGGAUUAGGUAGUUGGUGGGGUAAAGGCUCACAAAGGCGACGAUAUCUAGCUGGUCUGAGAGGAUGACCAGCCACACUGGGACUGCGACACGGCCCAGACUCCUACGGGAGGCAGCAUUGGGGAAUAUGGCGCAAUGGGGGCAAGCCGGACGCAGCCAUGCCGCGUGAAUGAAGAAGGCCUUCGGGUUGUAAAGUACUUUCAGCGGCGAGGCGUUAACUACAGAAGAAGCACCGGCGAACUCCGUGCCAGCAGCCGCGGUAAUUC